AUUGGACAGGGGGUUCAUGAGAACAGGGACUGUCUUUGGCCUUUGGAUACUGAGCACAAUGCUUGACAUGCAGGCCCACGUUUCUGGAUUACUGCCCUCAUUCUACUGAUGAGGAAACCGAAGCCCAGGACAUUUAGUGACUUGACAAGGCCACAUAGGAGGGACAGCUGCUGCUUCCUGGCACCGAGCUGCAGUGAGCACCACCUCUGAGUGAAGGUCAGACAGGCAAGCAGCCCUUCCCUGCAGGACGGAGUAGAGCCCACCGAGGGC